GAUGAACGCUAGCUACAGGCUUAACACAUGCAAGUCGAGGGGAAACGAUAUUGGAAGCUUGCUUCCGAUAGGCGUCGACCGGCGCACGGGUGAGUAACGCGUAUCCAACCUGCCCACCACUUGGGGAUAACCUUGCGAAAGUAAGACUAAUACCCAAUGAUAUCUCUAGAAGACAUCUGAAGGGGAUUAAAGAUUUAUCGGUGAUGGAUGGGGAUGCGUCUGAUUAGCUUGUUGGCGGGGUAAUGGCCCACCAAGGCUACGAUCAGUAGGGGUUCUGAGAGGAAGGUCCCCCACAUUGGAACUGAGACACGGUCCAAACUCCUACGGGAGGCAGCAGUGAGGAAUAUUGGUCAAUGGGCGAGAGCCUGAACCAGCCAAGUAGCGUGCAGGGUGACGGCCCUAUGGGUUGUAAACUGCUUUUAUAAGGGAAUAAAGUGAGUCUCGUGAGACUUUUUGCAUGUACCUUAUGAAUAAGGACCGGCUAAUUCCGUGCCAGCAGCCGCCGUAA
rnacentral:rRNA from 1 species